rnacentral:snRNA from 1 species
CGAUUGUUUUUGGAAAUCGU